GAUGAAUGCUGGCGGCGUGCCUAACACAUGCAAGUCGAGCGGCAGCGAGUUUUACACUGAACUCUGGAAGCUUCUGCGUAGUACAGAAGAUUUAUUCAAGAGUUUUGUGUAAAAUGUCGGCGAGCGGCGGACGGCUGAGUAACGCGUAGGAAUUUGUCCUAAAGUGCGGAAUUACUGCCCGAAAGGGUAGCUAAUGCCGACUUUGGUCUUCGGCUUAAAGCCUUCGGGCGGUUUGGGAGAUGACUGCGUUGGAUUAGGUAGUUGGUAGGGUAAUGGCCUACCAAGGCGACGAUCCAUAGCUUGGCUGAGAGGAAGAUCAGCCAGACCGGAACUGAGACGCAGUCCAGACUCCUACGGGAGGCAGCAGUGAGUGAUCGUCCACAAUGGGCGAAAGCCUGAUGGAGCAACGCCGCGUGAAGGAUGAAGUCCUUCGAGUUGUAAACUGCUUGUAUGAGUGAAGAAUAUGACGGUAACUCAUGAAUAAGCACCGGCUAACUACGUG
rnacentral:rRNA from 1 species